CAAGUACUUCAGAUCCAACAUAAGUUUCUGGUGUAAAAGUUCCAUACAAAGACUAGUGGCUAAUGAGUCUCAGAGAAUGAUCUUCUACAUGAGAUCUUUUUAAAUUUUUAUUUUAUUUUUAAUCCAUUUUUUGGGAAUUUCACAUCAUGCACCCCAGUUGCACUUACCUCUCAAUCUUCCCAUGUCUGCUCCCCAUAGCUCGACCCACCAAAAUAAGAAAGUGAAAAGUCUAUCUUGUGUUCUCUGGAGCAUGGUCACAUUCCUAGUGGCCAGCUUCCCCAGGGAGGAUGAAUCUUUCUCCACCUGCGCCUCCAUCAGAAGCCAUCAGCUGAGGAGAGCCGUGCUGCAGCAGAGGAGAAACAGGGACAGCUCUCUCACAACCAUGACAUGUCACUGUAAUUGCUGCUGUGCUGUGGGCCAUCAAGGGUGGGGCUAGCUCUCCCACACCUAUGCUAUUACAGGUGUGUGGGACCGUAAAAGGCAGCCUGUUUUCUGGUCGAGCAAGACUUACUCCGGAGACCCAGUAGAUACUCUACAAGGGACGGAACAGUGAGCCAUGCUCCCAGACAGACAGACUCCCAGCCUGACACCACAGAGCCCCCAACUCCAUAUUCCUGUGACUAUCAGUCACACACACAAAGUCCCAAGCUCCUGAUAUUCUGACUACAGUUACCUGACAAUAGCCAGGUAUGUUCCGCCCCACAACUACCCUGCAACUGCAAGAUAACCCAGCCAACUAUAAAAGGGGCUGCUUGGCUCCUCCUCUCUCAUUUAAGCUCUCCUUUCUCUUAUUCUCAUCUCUAUCUCUCGUUUUUCCCCUCCCUUUCCCCCUUUCUCCACGUGGCCAUGGCCGGCCUCUCCUAUUCUACCUUCUCUCUUUCUCUCUGCCUUUCUUCUAUAAAGCUCUAAAACCAUGGACUGUCUCUGCUCAUGGAGACUCGCCAUGUUAGGGCAACAGAGCGGGCUUUCCUCUAAAAUGCUGCAUCUAACCUCCUACCAAAGAAAGGCCUUCCUGAGCUCCAGCAACAGCCAUUAGCCAACCCAAGCUGCCCACUGAGCAAGCCAGACUCUCUCCUCCCCACAGUAACCUGCCAGGCCUCUCCCCCUACCCUCCCUUCGGCCCCUGGGCCAGAGUCUGUCUGAGGGCCCAUUCUCAGCUCUUCCACGACAUACAGGGAGGUCUGGGAGGUCUGAGCCUGAGAACCUCCUUAAGGCCCAGGGACCCCGGAUUGCUCCCUCUCUACCCCCUCGGACUGGGGUUCUGUGGCUUCCCACAGUUAGACAUCCAUCCACCCGGGCCACAUAGAGCACGGCAGUUUUCCCUGCCCCCCUUUAUUUCCUGAGACACGCUGCCCGACACAGGUGCUCUGCAUGGCAGCCAGCGAGGGGUGGGUGUACGUGAGAUCCUGAAGGAAACGGGCAAUGCAGCUGGACAAGUGACAUGGAGACACGGCAGCAUAGCCCAGAAGGAGGAAGACAGACCUGCAGACUGUCAUGCCACCCACAGGCCUGUCCUCCAGUGUACAGGUGGGCCACAGAAACCUGUUUGCUGACAGGCCACAUCGCAUGGAUGAAGUCACUCAGAAACCUGCCAGCCGAGUGGCCAGCCUAUAUCUGGAGCCAGCACAAUGUGCAAGCACGUGGUGGUCAGGUGAGAGAGAAAGAGAAGUGGGGCAGCUUGAGCCUUAUGGCGAGAGAUGGAACUGGAGACGUGAGGGUGGAGAGGAGUAGCCUGCUGUGAGUGACCAGCCCUGCCAUGGUUGAGGUUCUAGCCCCAGCUGAUGCUGAGGGCGCUGUCUGAGUCUAUGACUGCACAGUGGCAGGGGUCAUUGUCAAUGUUCAUUCUUGCUGAUAUUACCACUAGAGAACAUGGGGAAGUCCCUGCUCAGGGAAGCUGCUGGGGACCACCUGGAUGUCCCAUGCCUCUGCAUAAAUGGCCCUACCCCUCAAUGGCUGCCAUGACACUCUAGAGAGCUGACCUAUCUCUCAUCAGCCAUAUCACUUGAGUGCAGGCCUUCUGCCUUGCCCAGGGAGCACAGUGGAGCUGGCCCUGAUAGCCAGGGUGUGGGUAAGCUGGCUCCAAGGGCAUGAGUGUGGAAAAGCUGAUCUCACCACAGGUCUGCCACGUGGUGGGACAGGUGCAGAGGUGAGACCACCACCACCACCUCCAUCAGGAAAGCUGCUCACAGGGUCAUGAAAGCAGGAGAGCAGGCCCUGCCCCUUGCUUGCUACGGCACUUGGGGAGAGUGUGCCCUGGACCUCACUCAACUCAGAGGGUAAGAGUGCAGGGAAA
rnacentral:lncRNA from 1 species